GUGGGGAAUAUUCCGCAAUGGACGAAAGUCUGACGGAGCAACGCCGCGUGAGUGAUGAAGGUUUUCGGACUGUAAAGCUCUGUUGUUUAGGACGAAAGUGCCUGUUGCGAAUAGUUACAGGUAUUGACGGUACUGAACGAGGAAGCCACGGCUAACUACGUGCCAGCAGCCGCGGUAAUACGUAGGUGGCAAGCGUUGUCCGGAAUUAUUGGGCGUAAAGAGCAUGUAGGCGGGAAUCUAAGUCUGUUGUGAAAAUGCGGGGCUCAACCCCGUAUUGCGAUGGAAACUGGGUUUCUUGAGUGCAGGAGAGGAAAGGGGAAUUCCCAGUGUAGCGGUGAAAUGCGUAGAUAUUGGGAGGAACACCAGUGGCGAAGGCGCCUUUCUGGACUGUGUCUGACGCUGAGAUGCGAAAGCCAGGGUAGCGAACGGGAUUAGAUACCCGAGUAGUCC
rnacentral:rRNA from 1 species